GGGGGAUGUUACGAGGGACAGUCGGGGGGCUUCCGUAUUUCAUUGUCAGAGGUGAAAUUCUUGGAUUUAUGAAAGACGAACAUCUGCGAAAGCGCUAGCCAAGUAUGUCUUCAUUAAUCAAGAACGAAAGUUGGGGGCUCGAAGACGAUUAGAUACCGUCGUAGUCUCAACCAUAAACGAUGCCGACUAGGGAUCGGUGGGAGUUUUUUGAUGACUCCCUGGGCACCUUAAGAAAAAUCCAAGUCCUUGGGUUCCGGGGGGAAUAAGGUCGCAAGGGUGAAACUUAAAGGAAUUGACGGAAGGGCACCACCCGGCGUGGAACCCGCGGCUUAAUUUGACUCCACACGGGAAAACUUACCAAGGCCCGAACUAAUGAGGAAUGACCGAAUGAAAACUCCUUCCUGAAUCCAUGGGUGGUGGUGCAUGGCCCUUCUUAAUUGGUGGGU
rnacentral:rRNA from 1 species